CCUGAACGCUGGCGGCGUGGCUAAGACAUGCAAGUCGCACGGGGCCGCAAGGUCCAGUGGCGAACGGGUGAGUAAUGAAUCGCUAACGUGCCCCGGACUCUGGGAUAGCUAUCCGAAAGGGUAGGUAAUACCAGAUGACAUACCUGCUCCGCAUGGAGUGGGUCUCAAAGGUCCGCCGGUCUGGGAGCGGGCGAUUUCGUAUCAGCUAGUUGGUGCGGGUAACGGCCCACCAAGGCGACGACGCGUAGCCGGACUGAGAGGUUGGCCGGCCACAUUGGGACUGAGACACUGCCCAGACUCCUACGGGGGCUGCAGUAACGAAUCUUCCGCAAUGCACGCAAGUGUGACGGAGCGACGCCGCGUGUGGGACGAAGCCCUUC
rnacentral:rRNA from 1 species